AUGUUCAUGCGGGAGCUGGAGAUCCCCGACCUCGUCCGCUCAGGUGCUGUCUGCGUCUCGUGGCAUGCUGUUUACCUAGCCGUCCGCCGCCAUCGCUUCCCCCUUCCGAUCCCCCGGAAUCAGCUGCCCUGCCUGCUCUACGCAUGCCGCGAUUCCGCCGCAGACGGCGCCGUCGUCCGCUGCCCCUUCACCGGCGAUUCCGUCCAAGUCCCCCUUCCGCUGCCCCCGCUCACCCGCCAUUCCACGGUCGGCUCCGCGCACGGCUGGCUCGUCACCGCCGACGAGGCCUCGAACCUCCACCUUCUCAAUCCCAUCACGGGCGCCCACGCCGCGCUCCCGCCCAUCACCACCCUCCACCAUGUCGAGAGCUGUACCGACGCCGAAGGCCGCCUCACGUACAAUGUCAGGGCGGUGAUCCGGAGCCGAUCCCCUUUGACGCUCGCGAGGCCAGGGACUGCAUGUACCACCGUGUCACCCUCUCCUGCAGCCCGUCGGCUGGAAGCAGUUGCAUCGUGUUGCUGGUGCACAUGCCGGACGGCGAGCUCUCUUACGCCCGGCUCGGCGACGAGCGGUGGACGUGGAUCUCCCCUGACGACCACCAGCUCAUGGGCAUCAGCUGGGGCUUCAUGGACUCUUUCUACAAUGAGGACCAAGAUCAUGCGCAGAGAUAGGAAGGGAAAGGAUCCUUCUAGCAUGUACAUCCUGCAAGCUCCAUGGGGUGAUAUUUUGCAAAUAUGGAGGUGGAGGAGCUACACUGACUCGUCAACACCUGUGGAGCUUCCUAGAGAUCUGCUGGGUCACAACGAAGAUGAGAUAGACCGGUAUAUUGAGCUGAGAACAACUGAAAUAGAGGUCUAUAAGGUUGACCUUGAGAACCAGGCACUUGUGAAGUUGACAAGCUUAGCGAAUCAUGCACUAUUCCUUGAUUAUAAUAGCACCAUGUGUUUUGCCACGAAAGAUUUCCCAGCACUGAAGCCGAACUGUGUCUAUAUCACAGAUGACUCUCUUGAGUAUGUCAACAUGUGUAACCAUAACUGGCGAGAAAUCGGAGUUUGGGAUAUAGAAAACAAGAGCCUGCAGACUUUUGAUAGUGAUUUGCUUACUAAUUCCUGGAUGAACUGGCCUUCUCCGGUUUGGAUAACACCCUCCCUUUUCUAG
rnacentral:rRNA from 1 species